rnacentral:rRNA from 1 species
GACGAACGCUGGCGGCGUGCUUAACACAUGCAAGUCGAGCGGUAAGGCCCUUUCGGGGGUACACGAGCGGCGAACGGGUGAGUAACACGUGGGUGACCUGCCCUCAGCUCUGGGAUAAGCCUGGGAAACUGGGUCUAAUACUGGAUAUGACUCCACGGUGCAUGUCGUGGGGUGGAAAGCCUUGUGCGGCUGAGGAUGGGCCCGCGGCCUAUCAGCUUGUUGGUGGGGUGAGGCCUACCAAGGCGACGACGGGUAGCCGGCCUGAGAGGGCGACCGGCCACACUGGGACUGAGACACGGCCCAGACUCCUACGGGAGGCAGCAGUGGGGAAUCUUGCGCAAUGGGCGAAAGCCUGACGCAGCGACGCCGCGUGAGGG